GAAGAUGAACCAGAAUCAUUUUGGUGCUUUGUGGCAUUGAUGGAGCGGCUUGGACCAAAUUUUAACCGUGACCAGAACGGAGUGCAUUCUCAGCUUUUUGCAUUGUCAAAGGUUCUCUCUCUAUGUGUUUCCAUCUUUUCCCUUGCUAUUUUCUCAACCCCCAUCCCAUCUUUUGGUUUUUUAAAAGAUAGGGCAGCAAAAAUAUUAAAAAUAUUGAUUGAAAAUGUUUCUCAAUAAUUGUUAAGCAUAAUAAGGCUUUAAAUAGCCAUUUAGGAACAAAAUAUCCACCUAAUUUAAAAUUCAAAAAACCUAAAAUAUCUCAACAAACUUAAACAAUCUAAUAGAAAUUUAAAUUUGAAAUUAAUCCUAAAACUAAGCAACUUAUUAUGCUAAAAAACGUUAAUGCAGUAACUGAAAGCAACAAAAUUUCAACACUCCUUUGCUUCAGUUGCUGCAAUUUAAAAAAUUGCUCCUCCUCAAUUCUUGCUUCUGUUGUUUGUGCUUUGAAGAUUGUUUUUAGCAUCUAUGAAAUUGCACACUUUUGUAGUACAGUUCUUUUUCUUUUUUUCUUCUUUCUUUAUCGUCUUAUGGUUUUGUGCAUAAAAAACACCUUUAUUGACCUUGUCUUAUCUGAAAUCUCUUUUGAAAGUAUUUGAUUCUUGACAAUGAUCGGAUUUUCAGGGAUUGAUCGUAAGGAUUGUUCUUUCAUUACAACAUUCAAUAAAUCAUAGGUUUUGAGAUAUGGUUUUAUUUUCAUUGAGCAAAUCCGGUAGUUUUUGCCAGUGAAAAUUUGUGGGGCAUUCAAGAGAGACUGCUGCUUGCCAUGUUUGAAAAAAAAUUUAAAAAUUGAUAUUGGUUAAAAAUGAUUUAAAAAUGGUUCUUUGGAAGAACUCACAGAUCCCGUAAGACCAAUGAAGCUCUUAAUACCACUGUUGGUUUUUUGAAAGACGGGACAACAAAAAUAUUAAAAAUAUUGAUUGAAAAUGUCUCUCAAUAAUUUUAUUAUGCAUAACAAGGCAUUACAUCGCCAUUUAGGAACAAAAAAUUCACAUAACUUAAUAUUUAAAAAACGUAAGAUAUCUCAACUAACUAAACAAUCUAAUAGAAAUUUAAAUUUGAAAUUAAUCCAAAAACUAAGAAACUUAUUAUGCUUAAAAAAGUUAUUGCAGUAAUUGAAAGCAACAAAAUUUCAACACCAUCCCCAACUUUUCUAUAUUCACUAUUCAGUUUUGUACUUUGUGUACCUAAGCGAUGCUUCGUUCUUGCCUUCUUGGGUAUAGAAUACACUGCCUUUCUUCAAUAUAUUUCUUUUAUUAUUAUGUCAUGGAUAAUACCGUCGGUGCUCAAAAAAUAAAAGCUACACAAGGCUUAAAAGGCUCGAAGAAGUCAAUUAAAGCAUCAACACAAAAAUAUGCAGAAUAUAGAAGUUUCAUGGAUAAUACCGUCUAUUAGUAGCUACCUUAAAGCAGGGGCGACCUUUCCAUAAAGCAAGUAAAGCAACUGCUUUAGAUGGGGGCCUCAUGUUUUGUUACACCUAAAGACUAUGUAUAAAUUUUAAAAAAGGUUAUGUGAAGCGAAAAAAAUUAAUUUCUUUCUUUAACAAGUAUAGAGAAGAAGGAUUUAUAACUGCUAUGAUUUCUGCCACGAAAAUUGCACUUGAAAUGAAGAGUGAAACCGAAUUUCGUAAGAAAAGUAUGAUAUAUAGAAAGUAACAAUUUGAUGAGAAUGUUGAUAAUAAAAUCUCAAAAUCUUUUGAGAGUCCUUUGGAGUUGAUUACUUUAUACAUAGGAGACAAGGCUAUUUUUUCACUUCAAAAUAGAUUUGAUCAAUUCGAAGCAUAUGAAAAUAUUUUUGGUUUUCUAUUUAACGAUAAAAAUUAAGAUCACUAGAUGAUGAAAAUUUGAAAAAUGUUGCCUUAAUCUUGAAUGUUCCUUAAAGAAUAAUAAUCAAUUCGAUAUUGAUGAUUUGGAUUUAUUUUGGAAAUUAAAAUAUUAAAAAAAAUAGUACAAUUAGAAUAUAAUUAUUUAAUUGAUACACUCAUUGAAAUAAAAAGAUUUGAUUCUUUUUCCAAUAUCUAUAUUACUUAUGAAAUAAUGUUAAUAACUCUUGCUACUGUCGCUUCAGCGGAAAGAAAUUUUCAAAAUUAAAAUUGAUAAUACCUUACCUAAGAACAACAAUGUCUCGACUCAAGAAAAGUUAAAUGAAUUAGCUAUAUUGUCAAUUAAGAAAGAUUUAUUAGGAGUUGUUGAUUAUAAGAAAAUUAUUAAUAAUUUUGUAUCUAAGAAACAUUAGAAAAAUAGACUUAAAAUAAAUAAAUAGUUAAGGCCCCUCAUAAAAUUUGGGUUUAGGCUACAGAACUGUCGGGCCGCCCCUGCCUUAAGGUGCUCAAAAAAUAAAAGCUACACAAGGCUUAAAAGGCUCGAAGAAGUCAAUUAAAGCAUUAACACAAAAAUAUGCAGAAUAUAGAAUUUAAUUGAACCACAUGACCACAACUCGCUUGUAAUGGGACAAUGCAAUAGAGGACGUUGUUUCUGCAUAAAAGUAUCCUAGUUUUUGUUUCCUUCCUUAUUCUGAGGUAACACAACUAUAGCAUGCCAUGAUACAUGCUAAAAAGAAAAAGCUCUUUCUUGUUGCGAAUAGAACAUCAAAUGAUCCACCAUUAACUGCUGACGAAAUCCAGACCUCUAUGGUAGGCCAUGAAGCAAUGUAAGACUCCUUUUGGGACAGGAAAAAUUACGGGAUUGAAGAAUUAGGUGUCAGACAAAUACUAUCCUUCCAAUGACCACCUAAACAUGCCUGACUAUUUGAGAAAUGAAUCAUUUUAUGGCUAAUGUGUGACAAUGCUUCCAUAUUGUUUUCCUUAAAAGCUCCGACAUUUCCAUCCCUUCACACCCUUUUUUCCGUUAUAGAUUUUUUAUUUGUAAAUUUCACAGUAGCUGGAUGAUAAACAUAUGUCUGCUGUCAAAAUUCUAAUGCAAAAUUACUGGGCUAUGCAGUUGGUGGAACCCUUUGCAUGAUUACUUCAAACAGAAGGACUGCUUGAAUUAUUUCUUUUGCUUUCGCUGGGUUCUUAUACAAUUCAAAAGGCAAGCGGUUCUACUCUUGAAAAUUUUGUGCCCUGAUUGCAUCCAGCAUAUGAUGCGCUUGUGUAUGACAGAUUUUCUCUGCAUCCUACUUAUAAACAAACUUGUACUGUUUUCAUUUUCUGUUAGACUAUGCUAAUGCACUUAUAAGAAAAAAAGAGUUAGAUUUUGCUGAUGAAUAUGACUAAUACUGUUGAAAUAUUUCUGACCAUUGUGAGAUUUUGAGAUAUGUGGAUUAAAAGCCAAAUCCAAGUCCAUCUUUCUGAGCCGAGGGUCUAUCGGAAACAGCCUCUCUACCCUAUCGGGGUAGGAGUAAGGUCUACGUACACAUUACCUCCCCAGACCCCACUUGGUGGGAUUUUACUGGGUAGUUAUUAUUGUUGUUCAUGCGGGGAAGUAUGAGCUCUCGUCUCCUUGUUGAGUGCUUACUCCCAUGUUAGUAUAUUAAGUUGUUGGUGUAGCGUGUACCUAAGUUGCUCGGACACGGGGCGGAUCUAGUAAAUUCUAAGAUUCGGGGAUGCGGAUCCUAGUACGGAUAUGGAUGCAGGAAUCCGGCUAAAAAAUAGUCCAAAAUAAUAAAAAUAUAAAAAUAUCUCUAAAUUCUGAGAAAUUUUGCGGAGUACUUAUGUAUAGCUUGUAAUGUGUAGUUUUCUUUUUUUAUUCUCAAGUUGUAAAUAAGUAAAUGAUUGAUUUCCUAGAUAAUAUAUGCUAUUUUCAAAUUUACUCUUGUUUUGGUUAUGUUUUUGGGAAUCAAAUUGUAUCUUGUCUCAAAGUUUUUCAUCGUCAAUGUACUCAAAAUUGGUUGACCAGAUCUGGUAUGGAUCCCAUACCCACACCCAUACGAGUGUCCUGUCGAUACGGGUGCGGCUCCUAAAUUGCUAUGUCGGAGCAACUUAUGCGUGUACAUGACAACUUGUUCUUUUUGUCCAUUGAUCCUUCAACCAUGCACUUGACACCUAGGGAGCCAAAGUGAAAGAUCUAUUCUCUUGUUCACCCGAAUAAUCACUUCUUCUUGGACCUUAAUCAUACAUAUAAAUGUUCUAUUGCACCUAUUAUUGUUUAGAGCUUUGAUCUAGUGGUAAGAGCGUAAUAUGUGAUGUGUGGAUUAGGUUCACAUUAUGGGUUCAAACUCCGUUGCAGCCAAGGCCAUGGUAUUUAAGUGAAGAAGGGUAGAGGGGCAGACUCAUUAUCCAUGGAGCUGUGAACCGUGCGCCAGCGAUCCGGGAUUUCACGAUUAUUAAAGAAACAUGUCUAGAGGUUCAACCAAGUAACUUUAUUAGAGAUCGUCUUCAUUUAACGCCUCCCAAAAAGAGUGCCUCCAUUUAUGAAUAUUUCUCAGAACUACAAGACAAUGGCAUUGCUAGGUUCCUUUGUUGACUUAUAUAAAUCCAUAUUUACAUUUCUCUCUGAAGGAAGCACGAUAUGUGGUCCCUUAAAGCAUUAACCUUUAUGGAUGUGCAUCGUUUCUUCCCAGCAUCCGUCUCUCUGUGGAUGGGAAGAAAAGAGAAGACAAAGAGAGAAAAGAAUGCUUGAUUGCACAUAGGCAAAAAUGUUGUAGAUUUAGCAUGUUUUAGUAAUUUGAAUGUCGUUGAUGCAGCUAUCGUUUCUCAAUUCUUGUGUUACAUUCUGUUUAGACCGUCUUACUUCAAAUUGCACUAAACGGACACUUUGAUUUCAUUUUAGUUGAUACCUUGUUUUUUGCAGGGAGUUUGACUUGGAGAAGACAAUGCGGUUGUGG
rnacentral:lncRNA from 1 species